GGAGAGGUGGCUGAGCGGUUCAAAGCAGCAGGUUGCUAACCUGCGCCCUGUCAUGGGGCUCGUGGGUUCAAAUCCCACCCUCUCCG
rnacentral:tRNA from 5 species